UACGGAGGCCCCAAGCGUUGUUCGGAUUUAUUGGGCGUAAAGGGUGCGUAGGCGGCGUGGUAAGUCUGGUGUGAAAGGCGUAGGCUCAACCUGCGGACUGCAUUGGAUACUGCCAUGCUAGAGGACUGGAGAGGAGAAUGGAAUUCACGGUGGAGCAGUGAAAUGCGUAGAUAUCGUGAGGAAGGCCAGUGGCGAAGGCGAUUCUCUGGACAGUAACUGACGCUGAGGCACGAAGGCUGGGGGAGCGAACAGG
rnacentral:rRNA from 1 species